GACGAACGCUGGCGGCGUGCCUAAUACAUGCAAGUCGAACGCAGUGGGGACGGGUGAGUAACACGUGGGUAACCUCCCAUCAGAGGGGAUAACACUUGGCAACCGGUGCUAAACCGCUACUGAUGGAUGGACCCGCGGUGCAUUAGCUAGUUGGUGAGGUAACGUCUCACCAAGGCCACGAUGCAUAGACGAUCUGAGAGUGUGAUCGGCCACACUGGGACUGAGACACGGCCCAGACUCCUACGGGAGGCAGCAGUAGGGAAUCGUCGGCAAUGGACGAAAGUCUGACCGAGCAACGCGGCGUGAGUGAAGAAGGUGUUCGGAUUGUAAAACUCUGUUGUUAGAGAGGCGGUAUCUAACCAGAAAGCAACGGCUAACUACGUGCCAGCAGCCGCGGUAAUUC
rnacentral:rRNA from 1 species